ACAUGAAUACAUCGAAUCGGAAGAUGGACAGUAUUCUUUGCAAAAUUUAUGCUGAACCGUAUUUUUUGUCGAUGAUGAGAUAAACACAUGCGUUUAUAUAUAUAUAUAUAUAUGCAUGUGCGUACACGGAACAAUUUGCUUACUUGAAAAUAUUCUUGUACUUUGAAUGGUUGAAGACUAAUUUUUAUCGUUUACAAGCCUCACAUGUGUGCUCUUUUUUAUGCGAUAUUAGUAUAACAAUGAAGUAAUAAAGUAAAUCAACCUGUGGUAAUUGCUAUAUAGAGCAAGUAAUAUUAUGAAAGAUUCAUAACCAUGCACAACAGUGGUUCCCAUGAUUAUUCUUAAUAUACGAUGAUAAUGAUUACUGAUAAUAAUAGGAGUGAAACGCUAAAGUUCAUUGUACAAUGUUACAGAAAAAAGAAAGAACGAAAAAAAUUACCUUCAUGCCAGUUUGAGAAACUAUAGAUCGCAUACAAUUAAUAAUACCAUCGAUCAAGCGGUACGGAACGAUCACGCGAAAGUAAGAAAUAUCUUCCACCGUACAAUUUUCCCCAUCGACGAAUGAUGCAGAUAAAACCUGUUCGUUUGAAAAUAUAUGCGUUUCUAGAGACUUUGCGGAAUGUAAGUCUCAUGUUAAAAACACGAAGGAUCGGAUACAUUCAAUGUAUUUUUAUUCAAACGAUAUUCUCUCAUUUGAUAAAGAUAGACAACAUUAAAAUAAUCAAUCAAUUCCUCGAAUGUGGCCGAGAACAUGAUUUACAUAGAUACAUUCAAAGCCACAUUCUUGCGCUUGAAAUUCCACAAAGCAAUCAUACCUAGAUUCUCCCGUUCUCCGAAUCCUCUGCCUCCGGCUUCACACAGGUGCACCUGCAACAACACAAAUAAGCCUUUAGAUUAUAGUAUUCUACCUGUGCGAGCGGCUUGAUUCCGCACCAAAUACCAGGAAUCGAACGCAUGCGAGUGCGUCUAUAUGUGUAGAUGUAAAAGAAUGAUAUAAAAAAUUGAAAAGAAUAAGUAUUCGCAUUCAAAUAAAAUGGUAAAAUUGUACAAAAGCACGUUUCUUUCCGCAACAUUGAAUUUUGCCGCAAUAUCACCAACGAUAGGAAGACGAUAAUUUUUCACGCGAAUCGCGCUACGAUCUUUCGCGGAUACAAAAAAUAUUUUGCAAAAUAACGGCAAGAAUUAUUAGAAAUAAUAGCAGAAACGGCGUACACAAGUUCUCUCGAUAGGUAUAUAAAAUUUCCGUGGACUACCCCGUAUGCGUAGAAAAAAAAAAAAGGAAUUGCCGUGAUAUCAACAUCGGUGAACGAAGAAGAACGCACUAUGUAUUUGCGCAUGUGCAUGUGCAUCGCGCUUGUUCUCCCACUAUCCACAAUCUGAAAGGAGCGCGAACUCUCAAUAAAACCGCUCUACUUCGACAAAUCGCCUUAAUUUCAUCGUCAAUAAGCCCGAGAAACCCGCACCAAGUAUGCCGAUCGCCGUCUCUAUACACCGUGACUCUGUUACGCGACCGCUGUGCACGCGCUUGUAUGCGCGUAUAUACAACUUACAUAGACGGAGGGCACACACGCGCAGUAUGGCAUGCCGUUGGUGCAAGCCGCGUGAGCGAGUUUAACGAAUCUGAAGCAGAGAGA
rnacentral:misc_RNA from 1 species